AGAACGAACGCUGGCGGCAUGCCUAAUACAUGCAAGUCGAACGAACACUUCGGUGUUAGUGGCGCACGGGUGCGUAACGCGUGGGAAUCUGCCCUUGGGUUCGGAAUAACAGUUGGAAACGACUGCUAAUACCGGAUGAUAUCGAAAGAUCAAAGAUUUAUCGCCCAGGGAUGAGCCCGCGUAGGAUUAGCUAGUUGGUGAGGUAAAGGCUCACCAAGGCGGCGAUCCUUAGCUGGUCUGAGAGGAUGAUCAGCCACACGUGGGACUGAGACGACGGCCCAGACCUCCGUACGGGA
rnacentral:rRNA from 1 species